rnacentral:rRNA from 1 species
UACGUAGGGUGCGAGCGUUGUCCGGAAUUACUGGGCGUAAAGGGCGCGUAGGCGGCCUCUUAAGUCGAACGUGAAAUCCCCGGGCUCAACCCGGGAACUGCGUCCGAUACUGGGAGGCUUGAAUCCGGGAGAGGGAUGUGGAAUUCCAGGUGUAGCGGUGAAAUGCGUAGAUAUCUGGAGAAACACCGGUGGCGAAGGCGGCAUCCUGGACCGGUAUUGACGCUGAGGCGCGAAAGCCAGGGGAGCAAACGGG